GAGGAGGAGCCCGGAGAUGGGUACUGAGACAAGGACCCAGGCCCUAUGGGGCGCAGCAGGCGCGAAACCUCUGCAAUAGGCGAAAGCCUGACAGGGUUAUUCUGAGUGACUUUCGCUAAGAAAGUCUUUUGACACCUCUAAAAAUGGUGUAGAAUAAGGGGUGGGCAAGUCUGGUGUCAGCCGCCGCGGUAAUACCAGCACCCCGAGUGGUCGGGACGAUUAUUGGGCCUAAAGCAUCCGUAGCCGGUUUUACAAGUCCUCCGUUAAAUCCAACUGCUUAACAGAUGGGCCGCGGAGGAUACUAUAAGACUAGGAGGCAGGAGAGGCAAGCGGUACUCAGUGGGUAGGGGUAAAAUCCGUUGAUCCAUUGAAGACCACCAGUGGCGAAGGCGGCUUGCCAGAAUGCGCUCGACGGUGAGGGAUGAAAGCUGGGGGAGCAAACCGGAUUAGAUACUCGGGUAGUCCCAGCUGUAAACGAUGCAGACUCGGUGAUGGACUAGCUUCAUGCUAGUCCAGUGCCGCAGGGAAGCCGUUAAGUCUGCCGCCUGGGUAGUACGGUCGCAAGACUGAAACUUAA
rnacentral:rRNA from 1 species